rnacentral:rRNA from 1 species
GGAGGGUGCAAGCGUUAUCCGGAUUCACUGGGUUUAAAGGGUGCGUAGGUGGGUUGGUAAGUCAGUGGUGAAAUCUCCAAGCUUAACUUGGAAACUGCCGUUGAUACUAUCAAUCUUGAAUCUCGUGGAGGUAAGCGGAAUAUGUCAUGUGGCGGUGAAAUGCUUAGAUAUGACAUAGAACACCGAUAGCGAAGGCAGCUUGCUACACGAGUAUUGACACUGAGGCACGAAAGCGUGGGGAUCAAACAGGAUUAGAUACCCUGGUAGUCCACGCCCUAAACGAUGGAUACUCGACAUACGCGAUACACAGUGUGUGUCUGAGCGAAAGCAUUAAGUAUCCCACCUGGGAAGUACGACCGCAAGGUUG